UCACGGUUUACACCGGCAGUCUUGCUAGAGUUCCCACCAUUACGUGCUGGCAACUAACAACAGGGGUUGCGCUCGUUAUAGGACUUAACCUGACACCUCACGGCACGAGCUGACGACAACCAUGCAGCACCUUGUAAAUUGUCCGAAGAAAAAUCUGUUUCCAAAUCUGUCAAUCUACAUUUAAGCCCUGGUAAGGUUCCUCGCGUAUCAUCGAAUUAAACCACAUGCUCCACCGCUUGUGCGGGCCCCCGUCAAUUCCUUUGAGUUUCAAACUUGCGUUCGUACUCCCCAGGUGGGAUACUUAUCACUUUCGCUUAGUCACUCAGUCCGAAAACCAAACAACUAGUAUCCAUCGUUUACGGCGUGGACUAC
rnacentral:misc_RNA from 1 species